GAUGAACGCUGGCGGCGUGCCUAAUACAUGCAAGUCGAGCGAACAGACGAGGAGCUUGCUCCUCUGACGUUAGCGGCGGACGGGUGAGUAACACGUGGAUAACCUACCUAUAAGACUGGGAUAACUUCGGGAAACCGGAGCUAAUACCGGAUAAUAUAUUGAACCGCAUGGUUCAAUAGUGAAAGACGGUUUUGCUGUCACUUAUAGAUGGAUCCGCGCCGCAUUAGCUAGUUGGUAAGGUAACGGCUUACCAAGGCAACGAUGCGUAGCCGACCUGAGAGGGUGAUCGGCCACACUGGAGCGGAGACACGGUCCAGACUCCUACGGGAGGCAGCAGUAGGGAAUCUUCCGCAAUGGGCGAAAGCCUGACGGAGCAACGCCGCGUGAGUGAUGAAGGUCUUCGGAUCGUAAAACUCUGUUAUUAGGGAAGAACAAAUGUGUAAGUAACGAUGCACGUCUUGACGGUAUCUAAUCAGAAAGCCACGGCUAACUACGU
rnacentral:rRNA from 1 species